UACGGGGGGGGGCAAGCGUUGUUCGGAAUUACUGGGCGUAAAGGGCGCGUAGGCGGUUUGCUAAGUUGAAUGUGAAAACUCUGGGCUUAACCCAGAGCCUGCAUCCGAAACUGGCAGACUUGAGUACUGGAGGGGAAAGCGGAAUUCCUGGUGUAGCGGUGAAAUGCGUAGAUAUCAGGAGGAACACCGGUGGCGAAGGCGGCUUUCUGGACAGUAACUGACGCUGAGGCGCGAAAGCUAGGGGAGCAAACAGG
rnacentral:rRNA from 1 species